rfam:Oryza nivara chromosome 1, whole genome shotgun sequence.
UCUGGUUUUCAUGUCCAACGUUUGACCGUCCGUCUUAUUUAAAAAAUUAUAAAAAAAAUAAAAAACAAGUCACGCAUAAAGUAUUAAUCAUGUUUUAUCAUCUAACAACAAUAAAAAUAUUAAUUAUAAAAGAUUUUAUAUAAGACAGACGGUCAAACGUUGAACACGGAAACAGGUUUGUUUUUUUA